AUCUACGGCCAUGCCACCCUGAACAAGCCUGAUCCCAUCUGAUCUUGGAAGCUAAGCAGGGUCGGUCCCGGUUAGUACUUAGAUGGGAGACCACCUAGGAAGACCAGGUGCUGUAGGCG
rnacentral:rRNA from 1 species